AAAGAAUCAAAAACAAAACAAAACAAAAAAGAUCAAGUGUAGUAUCUGUUCUUAUCAGUUUAAUAUCUGAUACGUCCUCUAUCCGAGGACAAUAUAUUAAAUGGAUUUUUGGGAGUAGGAGAUGGACUAGGAGCUUGCUCCGUCCACUCCACGCAUCGGCCUAGUAUUGUAGUACCUCCAGGAAUGGCGCAUUCUCC
rnacentral:snRNA from 1 species